rnacentral:rRNA from 1 species
UAGGGAAUCUUCGGCAAUGGGGGGAACCCUGACCGAGCAACGCCGCGUGAGUGAAGAAGGUUUUCGGAUCGUAAAGCUCUGUUGUUAAGGAAGAACGAGUGUGAGAAUGGAAAGUUCAUGCUGUGACGGUACUUAACCAGAAAGGGACGGCUAACUACGUGCCAGCAGCCGCGGUAAUACGUAGGUCCCGAGCGUUGUCCGGAUUUAUUGGGCGUAAAGCGAGCGCAGGCGGUUAGAAAAGUCUGAAGUGAAAGGCAGUGGCUCAACCAUUGUAGGCUUUGGAAACUGUUUAACUUGAGUGCAGAAGGGGAGAGUGGAAUUCCAUGUGUAGCGGUGAAAUGCGUAGAUAUAUGGAGGAACACCGGUGGCGAAAGCGGCUCUCUGGUCUUUAACUGACGCUGAGGCUCGAAAGCGUGGGGAGCGAACAGG